rnacentral:rRNA from 1 species
UGAUAGUCUAGAGUGAGGGAGAGGCAGAUGGAAUUGGUGGUGUAGGGGUAAAAUCCGUAGAUAUCACCAAGAAUACCCAUUGCGAAGGCGAUCUGCUGGAACUCAACUGACGCUAAGGCGCGAAAGCGUGGGGAGCAAACAGGAUUAGAUACCCUGGUAGUCCACGCCCUAAACGAUGUACACUAGUUGUUGGGAUGCUAGUCAUCUCAGUAAUGCAGCUAACGCAUUAAGUGUACCGCCUGGGGAGUACGGUCGCAAGAUUAAAACUCAAAGGAAUAGACGGGGACCCGCACAAGCGGUGGAGCAUGUGGUUUAAUUCGAAGAUACGCGAAGAACCUUACCUGGGCUUGAUAUCCUAAGAACCUUAUAGAGAUAUGAGGGUGCUAGCUUGCUAGAACUUAGAGACAGGUGCUGCACGGCUGUCGUCAGCUCGUGUCGUGAGAUGUUGGGUUAAGUCCCGCAACGAGCGCAACCCACGUAUUUAGUUGCUAACGGUUCGGCCGAGCACUCUAAAUAGACUGCCUUCGUAAGGAGGAGGAAGGUGUGGACGACGUCAAGUCAUCAUGGCCCUUAUGCCCAGGGCGACACACGUGCUACAAUGGCAUAUACAAUGAGACGCAAUACCGCGAGGUGGAGCAAAUCUAUAAAAUAUGUCCCAGUUCGGAUUGUUCUCUGCAACUCGAGAGCAUGAAGCCGGAAUCGCUAGUAAUCGUAGAUCAGCCAUGCUACGGUGAAUACGUUCCCGGGUCUUGUACUCACCGCCCGUCACACCAUGGG